rnacentral:lncRNA from 1 species
CGGCGGUUUAUGUUAGCAUGAUUGUCAGUUCUAACCGCCACAAUAAUUAGUAAUGCUAGUUAUCAUUGUAGGUAAUUAGUUAUGCCAAAUUGAAUCACAAAACUUCACCAGAGCGGGAAAAUAAAUAAAAUAUAAGUAAGAAGAAAAAGAAGAAAUGGAGAAUGGUGAUAAUCAAUUGGUGCUAUAUAUAUAUAUAUAUAUAUAUAUAUAUAUAUAUAUAUAUAUAUAUAUAUAUACACACUCACAUACUCGCAGACAUAUAUGUGCAUGAUAUAGUUUUGACUAUCUAAUUUAAAGUUAUUGUUUGUGUAUAUAUAUGUAUGAAUGAUUGUGUGUGUGUACGCCCGUGUAUGUUUAUUACCUUGUGCGUUUGCGUAUGUGUGAGUAUGUGUAUGUGUGUAUAUAUGUGUGCAAGUGUGUCUGUGUGUGUGAGUUUGAAUUGUAUGCAAUUGUAUUAUAUUCUGUUCUGCGGAGUAUGCCUCGAUUGUUAUACAAAAUUGUUUAGCUGAUCUAUGUUGUUUACUGAAUAGAAAACAUCGCUUGAAGGUGACUUGAAUAUCUAAAAAAGUUUAAAGCCAGCAUACCCUCAUUAACAAUAUAAACUAGCAGGGUAUUCUCUUGAAACAAUUCUCUCCACAACAUUAAAUCUAUAGUCGACAUAUGCCUCAUGCAGAUGAAAACACUGACGUUGCAUAACUAAAAUUCAAUAUAGAAAUAUUUUUAUUUCUAUAAUGUAGUGUUCUGUAGAGAAAAUAAAACUAAACAAAACAACAGCAAUUUGUUCUUCUGUAUAUUAUGCAAUGAUGCUUUAGCGUGUAUGUAUGUAAACUAACAGAAACUAAAAUUCUAAAACAUUCGUAUAACAACUCCACAAUGGAAACAAAAGUAAUUGUGGUGAAUUUAACCUGCUUACGAGUGCAGUUUUUUUACGCGCACAUAUUGCCAAUCCUAAGUCGUUAUCCACAAUUAUUAUUAUACUUACAAAACAUAUUUGCACAGAGAGAAACAUUCAUGCAUGAUACAUAAAAAAACAUACACAUACAUACAAAUACGCAUAUGUAUACAGCCUAGCACAUUGAUAAAUACAACCACAUGAAGACGUGCACAGUUGAGCACAUGCAUUCUUAACAGACAUAUACACAGCUUCUUAGUUGAUAAUCUCUAAAUUUUAAUGAAAGAACAUUGAUUCUGAGUUGGAAAUUAUAUUGUUUAAUCUACGAGGAUAGAAAAAAAUAUGAACAAAAGAGUUACAUAUAUAUUCUUAUGAAAUAACGCUUGGGUGUUUAUGUACUUACUAAGUUCGUUUAAUGUUACCAAUAGUAAACAGCUUUUUGCAGUGGGGAACUUGAUCAAUUCUUCAGAUUUUUGUUAGUAACGUGAAAGGAAAACGA